rnacentral:lncRNA from 10 species
GGCCACUCUCCUCAGGCGUCUUGCCAUUGGGGCCGGUGGCAAGUCAGAACGUCUGCCAUGGAGCAGCGAGCCUCAGAGUGUGACGAUUGCAGUGAGUGUGUGACAUUGAGGCAUCCUAAUUUACAUUGAAAAUAUAUGGCCAGUGAAGAAACAGCCUGGAGAGAUCUACACUCACAUGGAUCUUGAUACCCCAGACAUCACAAACUCCUUGAGGUUACAGCUUGUGUUGCACUCAUCUUUAUAUUCUGAAUCUAACAUUGUGACUGGCACAGAGCAGACACCUGGAUGGAUUAGGUCACAGAAGAUAUCCGGAUUUGCAUGGAGACGUCUGUGCAGGACAGCCCUUGGGCCCAGCGUGACUUCCAACCGUGAUUCCUCAAGUGAUUCCUGCAACUGUGAUUCCUCACAAGUUCCAGCAGUGCUGCAUGCAUGUGCAGGGGAAAACAAGGAGGCAUGAGGCAAGGAUCACACCCUCAGAAAAUGUUCAGUUUACCAGAGAAGGUAGACACACAGCAAAUAAUGAUGGCACAAACUGAAAGCGAUGUCUGCCACACAAGUAGCCACGAGAAGAAAGGACACAAAUACAAGCAAACACUGUCAGGCCCCCUAAUGUGAACACGACCAUCAGUUUCAGGUGGGCACAAGGAAUGAAGGCUUAGUCCGGUCUAAGAUGUGGGUGUCUAAGCGGGUGGUUUUGAGGGACAGAACUUCUGUCCUGUUUCACCCUCUUCACUUCCUUUCUCCUCCUUACUGAGGGUCAUAGCCUUUGAUUGUGCUCCAUUUCACUAAAAGGUGCAGGUACUUUUCCUUCAAAAUAAGCUCAAACCCUUCCUGAACGCUUUCUCUUUCAACUCUUAAGCACGUGUGCUGUGGAGUGACUUGUUAUUUCCUGCCCUACAGAUCUGUAAGAGAGCUAGGGCCUUUGCCCAAUGUGUGAGAAGAGGUGCAACUUGCUUCCUCUCCUGCAUUCACCUUAGCAGGGUUGUCUUCCGCGCGGCUGAGGUGGCCAAGCUGCUCACAUCCCUGCACCCAGGUCUUGGCCACUACCAAAUGGAGAAGCCCAGUCGACAAAUGCUGUGGCCGGGCAUUGUCACCCCAGCUGCGAGACCUUCUCUCUAUCCAUGGGGAGGGAAUAGAAGGCUUCAUUUAUGCCACCAUAUGAGCAAUAAGAACUUUGGACUGGUUUUAUAAGUGAAUUUGUAAUCUCACAUCCCAAGAAAAAAGUCUUCUGCAGUUUCCAAACCCUUUUAGGUUCACUUGCUUGUUAAUUUUAUUGUGAGAAGAAUAAAUAAAAUCAGAAAUACAUAAAUAAAAAUAUUUUGAUGAGA